GACGAACGCUGGCGGCGUGCCUAAUACAUGCAAGUAGAACGCUGAAGGAGGAGCUUGCUCUUCUGGACGAGUUGCGAACGGGUGAGUAACGCGUAGGUAACCUGCCUGGUAGCGGGGGAUAACUAUUGGAAACGAUAGCUAAUACCGCAUAACAGUAGAUGUUGCAUGACAUUUGCUUAAAAGGUGCAAUUGCACCACUACCAGAUGGACCUGCGUUGUAUUAGCUAGUUGGUGGGGUAACGGCUCACCAAGGCGACGAUACAUAGCCGACCUGAGAGGGUGAUCGGCCACACUGGGACUGAGACACGGCCCAGACUCCUACGGGAGGGAGCAGUAGGGAAACUUCGGCAAUGGACGGAAGUCUGACCGAGCAACGCCGCGUGAGUGAAGAAGGUUUUCGGAUCGUAAAGCUCUGUUGUAAGAGAAGAACGAGUGUGAGAGUGGAAAGUUCACACUGUGACGGUAUCUUACCAGAAAGGGACGGCUAACUACGUG
rnacentral:rRNA from 1 species